UACGUAGGUGGCAAGCGUUGUCCGGAAUUAUUGGGCGUAAAGCGCGCGCAGACGGUCCUUUAAGUCUGAUGUGAAAGCCCACGGCUCAACCGUGGAGGGUCACUGGAAACUGGAGGACUUGAGUACAGAAGAGGAAAGUGGAAUUCCACGUGUAGCGGUGAAAUGCGUAGAGAUGUGGAGGAACACCAGUGGCGAAGGCGACUUUCUGGUCUGUAACUGACGUUGAGGCGCGAAAGCGUGGGGAGCAAACAGG
rnacentral:rRNA from 1 species